GAUGAACGCUGGCGGCGUGCCUAAUACAUGCAAGUCGAGCGAACAGAUGAGGAGCUUGCUCCUCUGACGUUAGCGGCGGACGGGUGAGUAACACGUGGAUAACCUACCUAUAAGACUGGGAUAACUUCGGGAAACCGGAGCUAAUACCGGAUAAUAUAUUGAACCGCAUGGUUCAAUAGUGAAAGACGGUUUUGCUGUCACUUAUAGAUGGGUCCGCGCCGCAUUAGCUAGUUGGUAAGGUAACGGCUUACCAAGGCAACGAUGCGUAGCCGACCUGAGAGGGUGAUCGGCCACACUGGAAAUGAGACACGGUCCAGACUCCUACGGGAGGCAGCAGUAGGGAAUCUUCCGCAAUGGGCGAAAGCCUGACGGAGCAACGCCGCGUGAGUGAUGAAGGUCUUCGGAUCGUAAAACUCUGUUAUUAGGGAAGAACAAAUGUGUAAGUAACUAUGCACGUCUUGACGGUACCUAAUCAGAAAGCCACGGCUAACUACGUG
rnacentral:rRNA from 1 species